CUGACUGGUCUGUUCUUCUUCGCAAAGACUGUGUAUUCUCUUCAUUGAGUGUGCUCAGGAUUUACGACGUUUACUUUGAAAAAAUUAGAGUGUUCAAAGCAGGCCUACCGCUUGAAUACAUGAGCAUGGAAUAAUGGAAUAGGACUUUGGUCUUAUUUUGUUGGUUUCUAAGACCGAAGUAAUGAUUAAGAGGGACAGUUGGGGGCAUUAGUAUUUCGUUGUCAGAGGUGAAAUUCUUGGAUUUACGAAAGACUAACAACUGCGAAAGCAUUUGCCAAGAAUGUUUUCAUUAAUCAAGCAACGAAAGUUAGAGGAUCGAAGACGAUCAGAUACCGUCCUAGUUCUAACCAUAAACGAUGUCGACUAGGGAUCAGCGGGCGUUAUAUACGACCUCGUUGGCACCUUACGGGAAACCAAAGUUUUCGGAUUCCGGGGGAAGUAUGGUUGCAAAGCUGAAACUUAAAGGAAUUGACGGAAGGGCACCACCAGGAGUGGAGCCUGCGGCUUAAUUUGACUCA
rnacentral:rRNA from 1 species